rnacentral:rRNA from 1 species
AGUGAACGCUGGCGGUAGGCCUAACACAUGCAAGUCGAACGGCAGCACAGUAAGAGCUUGCUCUUACGGGUGGCGAGUGGCGGACGGGUGAGGAAUACAUCGGAAUCUACUUUUUCGUGGGGGAUAACGUAGGGAAACUUACGCUAAUACCGCAUACGACCUACGGGUGAAAGCAGGGGAUCUUCGGACCUUUCGCGAUUGAAUGAGCCGAUGCCGAAUUAGCUAGUUGGCGGGGUAAAGGCCCACCAAGGCGACGAUCCGUAGCUGGUCUGAGAGGAUGAUCAGCCACACUGGAACUGAGACACGGUCCAGACUCCUACGGGAGGCAGCAGUGGGGAAUAUUGGACAAUGGGCGCAAGCCUGAUCCAGCCAUACCGCGUGGGUGAAGAAGGUCUUCGGGUUGUAAAGCUCUGUUGUUGGGAAAGAAAAGCAGCAGGUUAAUACCCCGCUGUUCUGACGGUACCCAAAGAAUAAGCACCGGCUAACUUCGUG